UUCAUAGCUGCAAAGAACGUGUGUCUGCAGAACAAAUACAGCUCAGGCAGCAGCCGUGCAAGCUUCCCAGGCUGAUUUGCCAACGCGCUUCAUCCUUAAACUGGUGAGAAUGUCUGAAGGGUGCGGAGCUUCAUCACUCUGGGUUUGUAGUCUUU
rnacentral:sRNA from 14 species